rnacentral:rRNA from 1 species
GCUGGCGGCAGGCCUAACACAUGCAAGUCGAGCGGUAACAUUUCUAGCUUGCUAGAAGAUGACGAGCGGCGGACGGGUGAGUAAUGCUUGGGAACAUGCCUUGAGGUGGGGGACAACAGUUGGAAACGACUGCUAAUACCGCAUAAUGUCUACGGACCAAAGGGGGCUUUUAGCUCCCGCCUUUAGAUUGGCCCAAGUGGGAUUAGUUAGUUGGUGAGGUAAUGGCUCACCAAGGCAACGAUCCCUAGCUGGUUUGAGAGGAUGAUCAGCCACACUGGGACUGAGACACGGCCCAGACUCCUACGGGAGGCAGCAGUGGGGAAUAUUGCACAAUGGGCGAAAGCCUGAUGCAGCCAUGCCGCGUGUGUGAAGAAGGCCUUCGGGUUGUAAAGCACUUUCAGUCAGGAGGAAAGGUUAGUAGUUAAUACCUGCUAGCUGUGACGUUACUGACAGAAGAAGCACCGGCUAACUCCGUGCCAGCAGCCGCGGUAAUACGGA